rnacentral:rRNA from 1 species
CCUACGGGAGGCAGCAGUGGGGAAUAUUGGACAAUGGGGGGAACCCUGAUCCAGCCAUGCCGCGUGUGUGAAGAAGGCCCUCGGGUUGUAAAGCACUUUCAGUGAGGAAGAACGCCUGGUGGUUAAUACCCAUCAGGAAAGACAUCACUCACAGAAGAAGCACCGGCUAACUCCGUGCCAGCAGCCGCGGUAAUACGGAGGGUGCGAGCGUUAAUCGGAAUUACUGGGCGUAAAGCGCGCGUAGGUGGCUUGAUAAGCCGGUUGUGAAAGCCCCGGGCUCAACCUGGGAACGGCAUCCGGAACUGUCAAGCUAGAGUGCAGGAGAGGAAGGUAGAAUUCCCGGUGUAGCGGUGAAAUGCGUAGAGAUCGGGAGGAAUACCAGUGGCGAAGGCGGCAUUCUGGACUGACACUGACACUGAGGUGCGAAAGCGUGGGUAGCAAACAGGAUUAGAUACCCUUGUAGUC